GACGAACCGAGCGAACGUUGUUCGGAAUCACUGGGCUUAAAGGGCGCGUAGGCGGGCGGCCGCGUCCGGGGUGAAAUCCUCCCGCCCAACGGGAGAACGGCCUCGGAUACGGGCGGCCUCGAGGGGGGUAGGGGCGUGCGGAACUGUGGGUGGAGCGGUGAAAUGCGUUGAGAUCCACAGGAACUCCGGUGGCGAAGGCGGCACGCUGGACCCCUCCUGACGCUGAGGCGCGAAAGCCAGGGGAGCGAACGGG
rnacentral:rRNA from 1 species